ACCAACCUUCAAUAACUGCUGCAUUAUUAGGAUAACUUAAUUCAACAUCGAGGUGUCAAACUUCAUCUUCGAUACCAUCUCUAAGAUAAAAUAAACCUGUUAUCCCUAAAGUAGCUUUUAUUUAUUAAAUGUUAUUUCUUUUUUGUGAAGAUAACAGGUCAUUUUUUUCUACUUUGUAAUUGUUAAAUUGAUAAAUUAAACAAAAAUUUUUUAUGUUAAAAAUCACAUUUUUUAAUUUUAAAAUGUUGUUGCCCCAACCAAACUACCUAUUGUAAAAAAAAACUUCAUCAAUCGAAUAAUUGAUAAAAUGCUUUACAACAAUAGUUAAGCUUUUAGGGUCUUCUCGUCUUACAGUUUUAAAUAGCAUCUUCACUAUUAUUUAAAUUUCUUGUUCUUAUAUUUAAGACAGUAGAAACAUCGUAAAACCAUUCACCUACGUUCAUCAAUUAAAUGACAAUUUAUUUUCCUACAUUAUUACCGUCAGGGAUACAGCAGCCGUUAAGUUUUAUAAAAAGAUCUUUCUUUUGUUUUCAAAACCACCGGGCAGGUCUCACCUUUUAAAAGAAAGAGAAAAGGCUAUGUUUUUGGUAAA
rnacentral:rRNA from 1 species